rnacentral:rRNA from 1 species
AAUCUUUCCCAACGCACCUUGCGCCCUUUGGCUAUUCUGAAGGGCAUGCCUGUUUGAGUAUCUUG